rnacentral:rRNA from 1 species
ACACGUCUACAUUAGAUACCCCCGUAGUCCCAGCCGUAAACUAUGCGCGUUAGGUGUAUCGGUGACCAUGAGUUACCGAGGUGCCGAAGGGAAACCGUGAAACGUGCCGCCUGGGAAGUACGGUCGCAAGGCUGAAACUUAAAGGAAUUGGCGGGGAGCACCACAACGGGUGGAGCCUGCGGUUUAAUUGGACUCAACGCCGGGAAGCUCACCGGAUAAGACAGCGGAAUGAUUGCCGGGCUGAAGACUCUGCAUGACUAGCUG